GACGUAGGGCGCGAGCGUUGUCCGGAUUUAUUGGGCGUAAAGAGCUCGUAGGCGGCUUGUCGCGUCGACUGUGAAAUCCCCCGGCUUAACCUGGGAACUGCGUCUGAUACUGGGAGGCUUGAGUAUGGGAGAGGGAUGUAGAAUUCCAGGUGUAGCGGUGAAAUGCGUAGAGAUGCGGAGGAACACCGAUGGCGAAGGCAGCCCCCUGGGCUAGCACUGACGCUCAGGCACGAAAGCGUGGGGAGCAAACAGG
rnacentral:rRNA from 1 species